AGCUUUGCGCAGUGGCAGUAUCGUAGCCUAUGAGGUUUAUCCGAGGCGCGAUUAUUGCUAAUUGAAAACUUUACCCAAUACCCCGCCGGUACGACUUGAAAUACAGUCGGCACUGGCAAUUUUUGACGGUCUUUACGGGGA
rnacentral:snRNA from 1 species